rnacentral:misc_RNA from 1 species
AGCCCAACCGACCCGGCCAGUCGCUCCUCGGAAGCCGACGAGAAAACAUCUCUCUCCUCGUAAAAUCGUCUUCCGAUUUCUUGUCUUGAAAAGAUGCUCGCUCGGAGUGUUCUUGUCACCGGUUGCAGCCGCGGCAUCGGCUUGGAGUUCGUGCGACAGCUGGUAUCGUGCGAUAAACCUCCGGCCGUGGUCAUAGGUACUUGCAGGAAUCCGGACAAAGCCACAGAACUGCAAGAACUCGCCAAGAAAUAUUCAAACCUGAAGAUCAUCAAAUUUGACGUGACAGACUACGCCAGCCUCCCCCGCGUGGUCGAGGAGGUAGGCCAGGCCGUGGGCGAGGGCGGCCUCAACCUCCUGAUCAACAACGCGGGCGUCAUGGACAAGUGCCCCUCGCAGAUGUUCGGCGUGCCCCUCCAGCACCUCGAGGCCAAGCUGUUCAGUGAGGUCCUCGAGACCAACACCACGGCGCCCCUCAUGCUGAUCAAGGAGCUGCUCCCCCUCCUCAGAAAGGCCGCGGCGUCGGGUGGAGGUCCUGUGGGCGUGUCCAGGGCAGCCGUGAUCAACAUGUCCACCAUCCUGGCUUCGAUGGGCAGCUUCGUUGGCAACGCUGACAUCUACGGCUACCGGGCGAGCAAGACCGCCCUCAACAUGCUGACGAAGGCCCUGUCGGUGGACUUGGGGCACGAGGGCCUGCUGUUCGUGGCGCUGCACCCCGGCUGGGUCCAGACCGACAUGGGCACGAGCGCGGGCAUGCUGACGACGGAGCAGAGCGUCAAGGACAUGAUCCAGCUGAUGGCGACGCUGACGGAGAAGAACAACGGCUGUUUUAUUUCGCACGACGGGAGCGAGCUGCCCUGGUGAGGCGGGGCGCGCAUGGCGGGCUUCGACUCUAGGGUGAAGGGUAUUUGUUUGUCUUGGUUCCCGAUUCUCGUACCGUUCUUUUUCAUCUGAUAAUAAUCUUUUUCUGUGUUUCUGUUUUUGUUA